CACGUAGGGGGCGAGCGUUGUCCGGAUUUAUUGGGCGUAAAGAGCUCGUAGGCGGCUCAGUAAGUCAGGUGUGAAAACUCCAGGCUCAACCUGGAGACGCCACCUGAUACUGCUGUGGCUAGAGUCCGGUAGGGAGCAUGGAAUUCCUGGUGUAGCGGUGAAAUGCGCAGAUAUCAGGAGGAACACCAGUGGCGGAAGGCGGUGCUCGUGGGCCGGA
rnacentral:rRNA from 1 species